GAUGAACGCUGACAGAAUGCUUAACACAUGCAAGUCUUUGGCCAAUCUGUUCUUGCACAGGCUAGCCAAGGCGGACGUGUGCGUAACGCGUAAAGUACUUGCCCUUCUGCCAUGUCUUACAGACUGACACGACUGAUCUCACCUUAUUCCGUUGCCGGCCCUCCUGUUCCUAGCAAUGAAAAGUGAUGCUUCAGGAGAGCUUGGCGUCCUAUUAGCUUGUUGGUGAGGUGACGGCUCACCAAGGCGAGGAGAGGUAGCCGGCCUGAGAGGGUGAACGGCCACAAGGGGACUGAGAUACGGCACUGACUCAUACGGGAGGAAGCAGGGGGGAAUAUUGGACAAUGGGGGCAACCGUGAUACAGCAAUUCUGUGUGCAAGAAGAAGGUUUUCGGAUUGUAAAGUGCGUGCAGCAGGGAAGAAGAAAGUGACGGUACCUGAAGAAGAAGCGACGGCUAAAUACGUG
rnacentral:rRNA from 1 species